CGGUGGAAAGCUUUUGGACAUCUCUCGUGUUUGAAAGAAUUGCUCCCAGGGACUGCCUAUAAUUUAUGAUCAAAUAAUCGAUCCACCUCUCGUGUAUGGCAACCAGCGGCUUCACGUUCACGCUCGCGAGCACCUCCUGUUCCACCGCGUAGGGCCCGCGGGAUCCGGCCGGGCCACGUGGAUCCGGAAAGUCCGAUGGCGGAUCCGGGAUCCUGACAAUAGGAGUAAAAAAAAAAAAACAAAAAAUUAUUGCAGACAAUUAAAA